AUUGGACAAAUAUAUGUUGACAUGUUUCUUACUAAAAACCCUACAAGGACAUCUACAACUAGUGGAAUGGGGUAUAUGUUGGAGCUUUUCCGCACUCCAGGAGAAUGCCAUAGCCAAUUGCGCAUGAGCCCAGAAAUUUUCGACGACCUCCACAAGUUAUUGGUUGAGAGGAUUUCAUUAGGCCAAAAGAUCCAAAUUUUCAUACGAUGCAUAGGAGGAUAAGGGAUGACAAGCGAGCGUAUCCAUAUUUUAAAGAUUGCAUUGGAGCACUUGAUGGCACACAUAUCCGUGUUUCACUUUCACCAGAGGAGCAAGUGAGGUAUAUUGGGAAGUCAGGGUACCCACCCAAAAUGUUUUAGCAGUUUGUGAUUUUGACAUGCGAUUCACAUAUGUAUCAACGGGCCAACCGGGAUCUAUGCACGACACAAGUGUCCUGUACAAUGCAUUGAGUGUGGAUAAGGAAAUAUUUCCACAUCCUCCAAAAGGUAAAUAUUAUGUUGUCGAUGCGGGGUAUCCUAAUCGCUCUGGUUAUCUAGCUCCAUACAAGGGUGAGAGGUAUCAUAUGCCCGAGUGGCAUAGAGGUAUGGAACCUAGAACUCCAAAGGAAAAAUUCAAUCGUAAACAUUCAUCUAUUCGCAAUGUGAUUGAGAGAUAUUUUGGGUUAUUGAAAAUGAAGUGGCAAAUUCUAUACAAGAUGGGGAACUACCCCAUGUGGAAGCAAAAAAUGAUAGUUGUUGCUUGUAUGGUCCUCCACAAUUUUAUUCGUGAGCAUAACAGUGAGGAUGCGGACUUUGCUCGGUUUGAUCGUGAUCCUAAUUUUAUGCCUACAAUACCGACCCGGUACAAACGAUAUGUCGUUCCAGCUAACGCAUCAGAUACAUCUACUGCGGAAGCCAGUGCCACUUGUAUGGAUACUUUUCGGGAUGAACUUGCCACAUCUCUCGCUCUUGGUUGGAACUAGCUUGUAAUGGAUUAGUGAUGUUGGGUUAGCGUUUGAACAAUUCAUGUGUGUUAACAUGUUCGAAUGAUCAAAGUUUUUU